UACGGAGGAUGCAAGCGUUAUCCGGAAUGAUUGGGCGUAAAGGGUCCGCAGGUGGCCAUGUAAGUCUGCUGUCAAAGAAUGAGGCUUAACCUCAUCAAGGCAGUGGAAACUACAUAGCUAGAGUACGGUCGGGGUAGAAGGAAUUCCUGGUGUAGCGGUGAAAUGCGUAGAGAUCAGGAAGAACACCGGUGGCGAAAGCGUUCUGCUAGACCUGUACUGACACUGAGGGACGAAAGCUAGGGGAGCGAAUGGG
rnacentral:rRNA from 1 species